UCGUGGCGCUGAUGCACAUCGCCAUCUUGGAUCGAUCAGUCGGCAGUAGCAGUCGAAAAGUGCGCUGAUUUUGAUUCUCGAAUUCUUGUCAUAUUCGAAUGACAGAUGUGAUGUCCGUUAUAAAAUCAAAGGGGGCGGCGGUUGUCCUUCAGUACCGCUCCAUUGACCCGAAGACAACCUCUCAACAUGAUCGGAAUCUAAUACACACAAGGAAGAAAGGGCAAGCCAUAAAGUUGGGGUUUUAAGACAUUCAGUUGGAUCACGGCUUCUUUCAUCCAAUCUGAUUUUCGAUCGACGAAAUAGAAUAGAGAAGAGGACGUGUCUGAUCGCUCGCUUACCCCGACGACUUCUUGCUUCGGUGUAUCGGGUGGACUGGCUAUACUACCCUCGGAUCUCAUGUGCAAAGAGCUACAACUUGGGCUUGGCGAGAGGUCGCGAGUAUUGGCAGUUGUGCUGACAGCGCUCGGAGAUUGCGAAGGAUCCCUAGUUAGACUACUGACCAAGGCACUUGUAUCGCUUUGCGUCGAUCCCCGUCGCUGCGACCUCUCGCUGUCUAUCAUCCCACCAGAAACUUGAAAGAGAAACAUCAAAUCUCGAUAAGCUAUUUCGAACUUUCACAAUCUCAAUUUUUAUUCCACCUUUCACAUAUGUAUACGUAUAUGUGUGUGUGUAUGUAUAUAUAUAUAUAUAUAUAUAAAGAUGUAACAUUCGCAUAAACUUCGUGCAAUUAUGUAAUUUCGUGCCGCGAACGAAUGAAAUUGGCGAACGAAGUUGCAACGGAUUUGCGAAUCGAGCAAUCUAUACGAUAAAUAAUGAUUCGAAAAGUAAUGGUAACCGAUUCAAUUUCGUCUGGUGUAAAAAUUUAUAUAUAGGAGUAUAUAUUACGUGUGUUGUUAUCCUUACCUAAUGGGGAGAGGCCGACACUUCGGGGGGAGCCACAGAGCACAGGGCUGCUGCUGAUACUAUCUCCCCCUCCUAUCAAACUUCUCCCACCUGAUAAUUUUUGGAUCAAUUGUAGAAUUGUUAUAUGUAACGUGUUAACGAUUUAUUAACUAAAGUCUAGACUCACUGUCUGCAUAUACUCAUGUGCACUAUACGACUUUCUAUAUCUCCAAUGGACAAAGGUAAAACGUUGUAUUUUGUACGUGCAAGAAAACUGAUUAUUCAUGUUGUCAUUGUGUUUAAAUAAUAUAUAUAUAUAUGAUAUCAUCCGCAUGCAUUUGAAUCUUAUGGUAUAGUCGCACACAUCAACAAGGAGAUAAGGUGCUAAUUGUACGUUUCUUGAAAAAUAUUGUAAAGUGUAAGGAAAAUAAAUGGCGAACAACAUUAAACAUGUAUACGCUAUGUAUAUACCUAUAUGUAUAUACUAUAUAUAUAUAUGUGUGUAUAUAUGUAUCAUUAACAGAAUGAGGGUUAUGUCGAGUAGGAAAGGAACGAGUACCUGGUGCAUGAGCAGCAGGAGGGAAGAGGCAAUUACCAGAACCAACUGGCUGCCGACUGGACCCAGCUAAGAGCAACAUUACUAUUCUGUUAUAACUAAUCCGACAAUAAAAAAAUCUUAUAUUUAAUAUCCUAAGGUUCGU